ensembl:lncRNA
GUUUUCCUGCUGUAGCCUCACCUUGCUGCUGAGCACAGAGUAGGAGCCUGCUGGGUGCCAGGUUUGGAUGUUUUAAUCUCUGAGUGGCUCCUACGACGUCUUCACGCGCUGCUUGGACAAUGAAAGUGAAUGACCAGCAGCUCUGUCACUACAGGAAGGUCUAUAAAGCUUGCAGAAUACACAAAAGCCAAACUCAGAACCACUCGGAAUAGGAAGAUUCAGCUGCUGGUUGCUUCUCUGCAUAGAACAAAGAAUUUCAUGUCUUUGGAUCUCUGUUUUUUUACACUCGUGGACUCAUGGACACGCAGCACUAAGCAGUGCAUUGCCUGGCACCCACUGGAUGUCUCACAGCAGCGAUGGUGCAGCAUUUGAAUGCUCUAUAGCAUGUUUGCACUGACUUUAUUUUUUUCUGUCUUAGGCAUGUAAACUGGCUCCCGUGUUUACUUAAACAUCAUAAAUACGUUGGGGCCAAAGUGGUUUUGUUCUGUUUCUUCCCACGGGAUGUAUCCAAUUCAGGAUAUUAUUUUCAGAUAAUGGCUUAAAUGGGAAUAUGCGUGUUCACAUACUGCUAACAUGACUGCCAUAAUAAUAUGAUCUCUUUUAGGAAAUUAUGCAUGCAGAAUCAGCACGUUGAUAAGUGCUGUAUAAAGCUAAAAUUCAGAAGUGACAGUUAAUGACUUAUCUGUUGAAGGUAGCCAACUGUCCUAAGGAAAAAUAAUUGUUUC